GAGAUAUUAGUAAAAAUUA
rnacentral:tRNA from 1 species